CAAUGCUACUAGGAACAGCAAUCCCACCGUCAGAGGACGAGCGAUGAUAGAAAUGUGGUCUGGGACGAAGAAAAGUAUGGCACAGAGACAAGGUGAUGUUAGCCGCGGCGUGGCUCACGUUGUUGCGGACCGAGCAGUUGAGCAGACCCGACCGGCCCGGCUCCAGAGUGACGUCACCACUAGUGCCACUGGGUCCGGAGAGGAGACGCGUGCCGUUCAGCGGGAGUCCGUCUAGACUGAAGCUGUAGUGCAGUGCCCCCCCUCCCUCAGCAGAGCCGGACACCCUCUGCUGUCCCGUGUAUAGACACUCCCGGGACAGGAGGGGAGAGGAGACCGGGGCUAAGGGAAACCGACUGAGGAGGUGAGUCUCACAGUUUGACUGAACAGAAGCCUUCUGUUAUUCACUCAUAGAAACUUAACUGCAUCCAAUUAUAAUUAGAAGUAUCCACCUCUUUAACCCCCCUGCUGCUACUCCCAGACAAACUAGUGUUUACUGUACUUGACAUAUUUGAUGCCGGCAUAUACAAAUUAGGCAGUAGCAAAAUAAACAGCAUUUUCACCCAACGCACUUCAACACAGCACCCUCUCUGUAUCAAAUUUUGGCCUAAAAAAUGGGCAGAGGGGCUGUCUAAGGAAUGCAUAGAAAAGGCCUUAAAAACAUUCACAAAGUACAGUAUAGCAUGUGACAAUACCAAUAAUAUGAACAUGGAGCCUUAGAGACAACAGUGUUUCUUUAAGAGCUAUGAAGUCAGACGUCAUGGUUUAAACAAUCCUUAAUGACCUAAAUGGGAAACAGCAGCUAAAACCAGCUACUGCUACUGAAAUAAGACAUAGUGACUCACCUUGAAUGGUUAAAUAACAUGUUGUUCUUUCUACUUCCUGCCCAACUGCAUCAUGUACAUCCAUUGAGUAUGUACUAUUGUCUGACCUGUUGAUGUCCUUUAUAGUAAAUAUUGUAGUACUGGCAUUAAAUGAAUAUCGAGUAUUGUUCGUCUUCUGCCCUCUGCUGGAAAAAAUCACGUCAUACUUUUUCAUCAGUCUGUAGGUAUCAUCUUGUGAGGUCUUAGGUAGCUGGACUUCCAAGGUUCCUCCCAGACAGCCAAAGCACUGGGUUGCGAUGUUUGGCUGCGUGGCAUCGCAGAAGGUCUUCACACCUGGUGGUUUACAGAGGAGAAUAAGACAAUACAGGAGAUAUAUCUCACUCAGAUUCCCAGACCAACGCUCACUAUAACUGUAAGAACUGUUACUCUCUUAUUACCAUUACUAUAAGAGGGAUGGACAAUAUCAAUGCAAUGGGUGUUAUUGCAGCGAGGGUCAUUAUACUCAUACAUGUUGAAGGUUGAAACAUUUAAUAUUUCCUUACAUUUUUUAUUUGAUUUACAUAAUUUCAAAAUUAUCGUCAUGUAAAUGAAAAUACCCUACCCUACCUCGAAUACGCCUGAUAAUAUGUGGUAAUACUGUUGUAUUGUAACAAAAGUGAGGUCCAAUUGUAGGGAAGUCACAAAGCAAAAUGCAGAGCAAUGAUCAAUGAUAUUCAACAAUGAAUGGACUCAAUAUACCCAGAAUUAACAUACGCUAAAGAAUUAAUUGGUUUAACCCAACAAAUGUGGAAAAGCAACUCCUAAUGUUUAAACCAAUAACCACAAAACUAUAGCUGACUAAAUUGCAUAUAAUGCAUAAAGAUUUAAAACAGUUAUAAUGCCAUAAAGAUCUCACCAUCAGUCACACCAAUUAGUAAGAGCAGCACAGCCCCCAUGUUGAGCAUCUCGACCUCAGUGUGGUCUCAGUGGAGUCCAGGACUGGAGCCUGUUCACAGGAACACACAACCCAGCCUAUAUGAGACACACAUGUCAUCGCAAAAGUGGAAGCUGUGCAACCGUUGAGCAAACGUUAUACUCACCACAACUGAACUAAAAGGGACAAUACCUUAUUAGGAUGAAGACAGUAAACAGUACAGUGAUACUGGCCAUCUCCUAAGAUCCAAUAAUUAUUAAUAGAAAGAAAUUAGGAAAGAAAUUAUGAAUUCAUGGUAAAAUUCUCCAAUUAAUUCUCCUAUUACUACCUGGAACGCAGCAGCUGAUAGUGAUUAUAAUGAUUGUCAAUCACUUUCACCAACUGCAUUCCACCUGCCUGCCUGCACUGUCCCUCCUCAGCCCAGAGGGGAAGCUGAGCUUCUCCUGGGCCUCCACAAUAUAUUCAUAUUUAUUCAUGAAUAUGUGUUAAUAUCAUUGAUCACUGUGCCAUACAAUUCUUUGUCACAGAGUCUCUACAAUAGCUGGUUCCCUGUCAGUGAUGGCACUGCUCCUGAUAGUAGCAUUGGGAGUCUACUGUGCCAAAAAGCACAAAAGCUCAAAAGGUAAGAAUUUGCGUCUCUUUGGUUUCAGUUUCAGGGGCAGCGGAGAGAGCAGAGGGAGAGUGAGGUGGAGUACGGGGGGGUCAAGGUGGCUCCAGGACCCAGGCGGACGCUGGAGACCAAUGUGGAUGAGUGUGUGUACGCUCAGCCCCGGAGGACGAGGCCCUGAAUGCUGUGAACAGCCAGAAGGGUAGGGUGUAGACAGCGCUUGAGCCAGAGAGCCAGCAGCCCGUUGACCUUUGACCUGCCAGGGGCACUUCUCUCUCUGCAUCUGAAAGGCCACUUCGUUGAACUGUUUUGAAAAUGUUACUGUUUAUUCGGCCGUUAUCACGUUCAUAUGUAUGUCCAUGAAGCCAUUCACAUGUAGUUUAAUUUAUUAAUUAUUAAUAUUAUUUACUUUUACCUCUGUUGUUCUUGUCCAUAGUUGCUUCCAGCAUAAAAUGUUGCUUAAAAACUGAUACCAGCAAUCAGUUAUUAUUAAUUACGAUAGCUUGAGUCUGUUCUAUAAACAUAACGCCAAUUUAAAUGGACAUAUACAUACAUUACACCCACACAAACAGACACUCAUCUAUUACAUAGCUACAUACUUUCUCCAAUUAAUGUUCCAAAAUGUAAUAUAAAAGAGACAAUCUCAUGGAAAAUAGACCUUUUUGACCUAAAAGCGAACAGAAACAAUCAAGUUAUUUGUAACCUAAAUGGUUGACACCUCUGCAGAUAGAGUCAUGGCCAUUUCAUGGCAACCAAUGAGAUAAGGCAAACACUUGGGCUAUGUUUGCUUCUCUGCCGUCUCUAACUUCCCCCUUAUUGCUCAGAUUGCCCUGAUAACACAAACCCUAACAACUAAACUUAUAGGCCAUGAUCAAUCAGCAAAGAAUGAAACAGAUACCAA